AGAGUUUGAUCCUGGCUCAGGAUGAUUGCUGGCGGCGUGCUUAACACAUGCAAGUCGAAUGGCACCUGCCCUCGGGCAGAAGCGAGUGGCGAACGGUUGAGUAACACGUGGAGAACCUGCCCCCUCCCCCGGGAUAGCCGCCCGAAAGGACGGGUAAUACCGGAUACCCCGGGGUGCCGCAUGGCACCCCGGCUAAAGCCCCGACGGGAGGGGAUGGCUCCGCGGCCCAUCAGGUAGACGGCGGGGUGACGGCCCACCGUGCCGACAACGGGUAGCCGGGUUGAGAGACCGACCGGCCAGAUUGGGACUGAGACACGGCCCAGACUCCUACGGGAGGCAGCAGUGGGGAAUCUUGCGCAAUGGGGGGAACCCUGACGCAGCGACGCCGCGUGCGGGACGGAGGCCUUCGGGUCGUAAACCGCUUUCAGCAGGGAAGAGUCAAGACUGUACCUGCAGAAGAAGCCCCGGCUAACUACGUGCCAGCAGCCGCGGUAAUACGUAGGGGGCGAGCGUUAUCCGGAUUCACUGGGCGUAAAGCGCGCGUAGGCGGCCCGGCAGGCCGGGGGUCGAAGCGGGGGGCUCAACCCCCCGAAGCCCCCGGAACCUCCGCGGCUUGGGUCCGGUAGGGGAGGGUGGAACACCCGGUGUAGCGGUGGAAUGCGCAGAUAUCGGGUGGAACACCGGUGGCGAAGGCGGCCCUCUGGGCCGAGACCGACGCUGAGGCGCGAAAGCUGGGGGAGCGAACAGGAUUAGAUACCCUGGUAGUCCCAGCCGUAAACGAUGAGACGCUAGGUGUGGGGGGACGAUCCCCCCAUGCCCCAGCCAACGCAUUAGGUGUCCCACCUGAGGAGUUACGGCUCACAAGGCUAAAACUCAAAGGAAUUAACGGGGGCCCGCACUAGCAGCGGAGCAUGUGGCUUAAUUAGAAGCAACGCGAAGAACCUUUCCAGGGCUGGACAUAUGGGUGAAGCGGGGGAGACCCCGUGACCGAGAGGAGCCCAUACAGGUGGUGCAUGGCUGUCGUCAGCUCGUGUCGUGAGAUGUUGGGUUAAGUCCCGCAACGAGCGCAACCCCCGCCGCGUGUUGCCAUCGGGUGAUGCCGGGAACCCACGCGGGACCGCCGCCGUCAAGGCGGAGGAGGGCGGGGACGACGUCAAGUCAUCAUGCCCCUUAUGCCCUGGGCUGCACACGUGCUACAAUGGCCGGUACAGAGGGAUGCCACCCCGCGAGGGGGAGCGGAUCCCGGAAAGCCGGCCCCAGUUCGGAUUGGGGGCUGCAACCCGCCCCCAUGAAGUCGGAGUUGCUAGUAAUCGCGGAUCAGCAUGCCGCGGUGAAUGCGUUCCCGGGCCUUGCACACACCGCCCGUCA
rnacentral:rRNA from 1 species